rnacentral:rRNA from 1 species
GAUGAACGCCAGCGGCAGGCCUAAUACAUGCAAGUCGGACGGGAUUUGGGAGCUUGCUCCCAAUGAGAGUGGCGCGCGGGUGCGUAACACGUAUGUAACCUACCUUAAUCAGGGGGAUAGCCUCUCGAAAGAGAGAUUGACACCGCAUAAUAUAUUUUUAUGGCAUCGUAGAAAUAUCAAAUAUUUAUAGGAUUAAGAUGGGCAUGCGGAACAUUAGCUAGUUGGUAAGGUAACGGCUUACCAAGGCUACGAUGUUUAGGGGAUCUGAGAGGAUGACCCCCCACACUGGUACUGAGACACGGACCAGACUCCUACGGGAGGCAGCAGUAAGGAAUAUUGGUCAAUGGGCGCAAGCCUGAACCAGCCAUGCCGCGUGCAGGAAGACGGCCCUAUGGGUUGUAAACUGCUUUUGUACCGGAAUAAACCCUUUUACGUGUAAAAGGCUGAAUGUACGGUAAGAAUAAGGACCGGCUAACUCCGUGCCAGCCGCCGCGGUAA